rnacentral:rRNA from 1 species
UACGAAGGGGGCUAGCGUUGCUCGGAAUCACUGGGCGUAAAGCGCACGUAGGCGGACUUUUAAGUCAGGGGUGAAAUCCUGGAGCUCAACUCCAGAACUGCCUUUGAUACUGGAAGUCUUGAGUCCGGAAGAGGUAAGUGGAACUGCGAGUGUAGAGGUGAAAUUCGUAGAUAUUCGCAAGGACACCAGUGGCGAAGGCGGCUUACUGGUCCGGUACUGACGCUGAGGUGCGAAAGCGUGGGGAGCGAACAGG